rnacentral:rRNA from 1 species
AUUGAACGCUGGCGGCAGGCCUGACACAUGCAAGUCGAGCGGAUGAAGGGAGCUUGCUCCUGGAUUCAGCGGCGGACGGGUGAGUAAUGCCUAGGAAUCUGCCUGGUAGUGGGGGAUAACGUCCGGAAACGGGCGCUAAUACCGCAUACGUCCUGAGGGAGAAAGUGGGGGAUCUUCGGACCUCACGCUAUCAGAUGAGCCUAGGUCGGAUUAGCUAGUUGGUGGGGUAAAGGCCUACCAAGGCGACGAUCCGUAACUGGUCUGAGAGGAUGAUCAGUCACACUGGAACUGAGACACGGUCCAGACUCCUACGGGAGGCAGCAGUGGGGAAUAUAGGACAAUGGGCGAAAGCCUGAUCCAGCCAUGCCGCGUGUGUGAAGAAGGUCUUCGGAUUGUAAAGCACUUUAAGUUGGGAGGAAGGGCAGUAAGUUAAUACCUUGCUGUUUUGACGUUACCAACAGAAUAAGCACCGGCUAACUUCGUG